CUAGAGACCCUGCCCAGCCCCAUCUGGGUCUAAUUUAAUCUCAGAAGAGGGGUUUUCUCUUUUUUUUGUGAAGGGCUAGAGGUGGUUUUCUCCAUACAUAUCUCCUGAACUUUCUUCUGUGUUUCUGAGGUGAUGUUUGGACCUGAUACAGCGUGCUAAUCAUUGAGUUUCAAGGGAGCCUACUGCUUUUGCCAGCCCUGCAGAAGGCUCCAUCUGUGAAUAUGAAACUUGAAUGAUGUGAUGUCAUAGGAAGCAGGGAUGUGGAACUGCAGGAAACCUCCUACUCCAGUGUCUUCACUAUCAAGCAUUAAAAACCCACGGAAUGACUUUCCCUUUGGGACAACGUGAUAAGAUGCUGCCAUCUGCAGUGAUAAUGCAUCAAAUGUCUGAUUUGAAGCCUACUGAAGCUGGUGGAAAGACUCAUACUUCAGUGGCUUUUAGAUCAGACCUGCAGUAUACACAGAGGCAUAGAUGAAAAAGGAUCACUUUGAAUGUCUGCAGCAAGAGGCACACAUUAUGCAGCUUUAAUACUGAAGACUCAUAAAACUUCAAGGACCCAUUUUUUUUGCCUUUUUGUAAAUUAGAGCUAUUUUUAUUGAAUCUAUAGGUUUGUCUAAAUGCAAUUAUUCUUUCCACUCUUAACGAAAAGAGGUUAGCCUGCUCUGAAGUUAACAAGAUCCCUAUGCUAAUUAUUCCUUCUUUUUUUCCAUUUAUAAAGGUCUACAUCUCUUAAUUACUACUGCUACUCUUUCCUCUGGAGUUAUUUUCAGAACCUUAUUUUGAUUCAUUCUAUGGAUGUGUUCUUGAAAUGCGUAUCAAUGGGCCUGCUCAAACAGUGUGUCAUGCUAGGAUGACAAAAUCAGAUCUGGUUAAGUUUGCUCCCCAAACUUGAUGCUUCUUAAAUGACAUUUCCAGGUCGUUACUCUCUAUUGAAUAUGAUGAGCAAACUUUCCAAGAAAGAGAAUAGAGCUUAAUAUCAAAACCCAGGUGCUUUCAAGUAUUUACAUCCUUCAGGAUUACUCGUGUAAUUGUACAAUUUGUUGCUUGGAAUAAGGAACAGUGAACACUGGGCUGGGGAAUGAGGAGUUGUAUGGUUCAGAAUUCAGUCAACACGCCAUAGAUGAACUGGGAAGCUUGUACCUGUGCUUGUGCAUCAGCACACAGCCAUAGAAGUCAGCAGGCUGACCUCCAGAGUUGAGCAGUGUAUUUUCAGCUUCUGCCUAGGAAGAAAAUACGCCUUGUGAGGAAAGCAUUCAAUAUUUGGAGCAGGGCUUAAGAAGAGGUAUGUGCUAAGGUACAGUUAUGAACUCCAGUUGUUUGGCAACUUGUUUGAGCUGACUGCUCAGCUCCUUACUCGACUGUCUCAUUUGUGUUGUCAUAUCCCCCAUGGUUUGAGCUGCUUCAGCAGUUUCACUGUAUUUGGAAAGUCUUACUACUACUUAGUUAACUUAUGCAAAGUUUAGGUCACUACUGCAGAACCUGUGUGCAGGACUUUGUUAGAGGCUUUUCAGACAUCCUUAGCCACUUCCUUUGCUUAUUUCCAUUUCUUGUGGAGUAAUUUUUUUUUUAAGUGUAUCAGUGUAUUGCAGUGUUGAUUGCUACACUGGCAGGGUUCAAGUUUGUGCUUGAUCUCUGAUUCUGAUCAGAUUUUAUAUUCUUGUUGAAUGCAUACUUGAGGCAUGAUGUGGUUGCUCUUUAUCAUGUUUAUCAUAUUCUGGAAAUGCCUCUAUGAAGUCAGUCACUGUCACUUUUUCAUUCCUCAUUUCUCUGUUUUCUUCUUCUCUUGAAAACAUGAAAGCAUAUCCUGUCAAAAUAGCAACUUAAUUUGAAACAGACUGUGUUCUUACUAAAAUUUCUGUCCUAGAGAGUUGGUGGCUGCUGUGCUGACUGUUCAGUAUUACUGAGUAACAGAGCUAACCUUUACUGUGGAGCCAGGAUACCUGUAUUUGUAAACUGUCUACUAUGUGUAGCCCUGAUAUACUUCUUCUAAUAGGAUUUCACCGUGUUUCUAUGAGCAGUGGAAAUAAAUUGCU
rnacentral:lncRNA from 7 species